GGAGAGGUCGCAUAGUGGUCUAGUGCGCUUGCUUGGAAAGCAAGUGUACCGCAAGGUACCGCGAGUUCGAAUCUCGCCCUCUCCGCCA
rnacentral:tRNA from 1 species